UACGGGGGGAGCAAGCGUUGUUCGGAUUUACUGGGCGUAAAGGGCGCGUAGGCGGUCAGCACAAGUCAGUUGUGAAAUCUCCGGGCUUAACUCGGAAAGGUCAACUGAUACUGUGCGACUAGAGUGCAGAAGGGGCAACUGGAAUUCUCGGUGUAGCGGUGAAAUGCGUAGAUAUCGAGAGGAACACCUGUGGCGAAAGCGGCUCUCUGGACCACAACUGACGCUGAGGCGCGAAAGCUAGGGGAGCAAACAGG
rnacentral:rRNA from 1 species